ACACGACUACAUUAGAUACCCGGGUAGUCCCAGCCCUAAACGAUGCGCGCUAGGUGUAUCGGUGACCACGAGUCACCGAGGUGCCGAAGGGAAACCGUUAAACUCGCUGCCUGGGGAGUACGGUCGCAAGGCUGAAACUUAAAGGAAUUGGCGGGGAGCACCACAAGAGGUGGAGGCUGCGGUUCAAUUGGACUCAACGCCGGAAAACUCAUCGGGAGCGACAGCAGUAUGAUUGCCAGGUUGAUGACCUUGCUUGACAAGCUG
rnacentral:rRNA from 1 species